GUUAAUUCAGGGCUUGAUUGGCUGCCUCCAAGCUGGGUCCUGGAGUGGGUAGAGCUGAGCACGUGCACCCUUUAAAAGCAUGCUCUCAGGAUGCUAUAGUCCUGUGGGUCUCAGGAUGUGAGCCCUGUUUGCUUUCAAAGUUAGAGCUUUUGGGGGCUCAUCUCUCAGGUGCAGGUACUGAAAGAUUUCUGCAGAACCUCUGAAAUGCCAAGAAUUUGCCUGCUGUUCCUAAGUUAGGAGAAAUACUGCCUGGUCCAGCAGGUCGGAGGACCUUACCUUUGCAUGGGGCCCACCGUGAAUGUGAAAUGGUGCUGCAGCUCAGGCAGGAGAUGGAAGGAAGAUAUGCUAUGCUAAGUUACUUCAGUCGUGUCCGACUCUGUGCGACCCCAUAGACGGAAGCCCACCAGGCUCCCCCGUCCCUGGAAUUCUCCAGGCAAGAACACUGGAGUGGGCUGCCAUUUCCUUCUCCAAUGCAUGAAAGUGAAAAGUGAAAGUGAAGUCGCUCAGUCGUGUCCGACUCUUAGCGACCCCAUGGACUGCAGCCUACCAGGCUCCUCUGUCCAUGGGAUUUUCCAGGCAAGAGUUCUGGAGUGGGUUGCCAUUGCCUUCUCCAUGGAAGGAAGAUACUGGGGCAUUAAUAGUGGCAUUCUGUUGAUGGGCGGGGCCCUGUUCCCUCCCUAUUGUUUGACCUGAGACCAAACUAUGGUGGAGUUAAUGAAGAUAAUAGUGACCUCCUUCAAAAGGUCCCAUGCACUCACUGCUGCAUUCAGUGCCCCGGCCCUGCAAUAGGCCACCGCUGACCCACACCUCCGCUGGAGACUCCUGGACACUCACAGAACUGUGAAUCUUUGUUUUUCCUGGACCAAACUAAAGUGAACUUCAUUCCUGUCUGAUCUUUCCCCAUCUUCAAAAGUGGAAGCACUGGAAGCUCCUUUGUUCAAGAUCCACCCACAGAAUGACAGGAGGUUAAAGAUAAAAAGUUUACUAGAGUAUGUGAGGAACCAGAGAUCAAAUUGCCAACAUCCGCAGGAUCAUGGAAAAAGCAAGAGAGUUCCAGAAAACAUCUAUUUCUGCUUUAUUGACUAUGCCAAAACCUUUGACUGUGUGGAUCACAAUAAACUGUGGAAAAUUCUGAAAGAGAUGGGAAUACCAGACCACCUGACCUUGAGAAAUGUAUAUGCAGGUCAGGAAGCAACAAUUAGAACUGGACAUGGAACAACAGACUGGUUCCAAAUAGGAAAAGGAGUACGUCAAGGCUGUAUAUUGUCACCCUGCUUAUUUAACUUAGAUGCAGAGUACAUCAUGAGAAACACUGGGCUGGAAGAAGCAUAAGCUGGAAUCAAGAUUGCCGGGAGAAAUAUCAAUAACCUCAGAUAUGCAGAUGACCCCACCCUUAUGGCAGAAAGUGAAGAGGAACUAAAAAGCCUCUUGAUGAAAGUGAAAGAGGAGAGUGAAAAAGUUGGCUUAAAGCUCAACAUUCAGAAAACGAAGAUCAUAGUAUCUGGUCCCAUUACUUCAUGGCAAAUAGUUGGGGGAAACAGUGGAAACAGUGUCAGACUUUAUUUUUUUGGGCUGCAAAAUCACCGCAGAUGGUGAUUGCAGCCAUGUAAUUAAAAGACGCUUACUCCUUGGAAGGAAAGUUAUGACCAACCUAGAAUAGCAUAUUCAAAAGAAGAGACAUUACUUUGCCAACAAAGGUCCAUCUAGUCAAGGCUAUGGUUUUUCCAGUAGUCAUGUAUGGAUGUGAGAGUUGGACUGUGAAGAAAGCUGAGUGCCGAAGUAUUGAUGCUUUUGAACUGUGGUGCUGGAGAAGACUCUUGAGAGUCCCUUGGACUGGAAGGAAAUUCCACCAGUCUAUUCUAAAGGAGAUCAGUCCUGUAUGUUCUUUGGAAGGAAUGAUGCUAAAGCUGAACUCCAGUACUUUGGCCACCUCAUGCGAAGAGUUGAUUCAUUGGAAAAGACUCUGAUGCUGGGAGGGGUUGGGGGCAGGAGGAGAACGGGACGCCAGAGGAUGAGAUGGCUUGAUGGCAUCACCAACUCAAUGGAUGUGAAUUUGGGUGAACUCUGGGAGCUGGUGAUGGACAGCGAGGCCUGGCGUGCUGCGAUUCAUGGGGUUGCAACGAGUCGGACACGACUGAGCGACUGAACUGAGAGUAUGUGGACAUUUAAGUAGGUGAUUUUAAAUGAUAAAUCUUACAGAGGGCAUACAAAGUAAGGGGAAAGAGAAAUGUUUCAGUUUUAACCCUUAGCAGUAUUUUUCUUCAGUUUCCUCAAAUGAUUAGAGCAUGAGGAUAAGUAGAAUACAUGACUGGAAAACAGGCUGGGGCCAUAUUGUAGAAGUCCUCGAAUGCCAGAAUGGAGAGUUUGUCAUUAACUAAGACCACAAUGGGGUGCCAUUGACUCUUUUGAGUAGGGGAAGCUGUAUUCUUAAAUCUAUGCCUUCAAAAGAUUAGUUCAAUAGAAGUAUCUGGGUUGUCUCAGAGAAGGAAGAGAUGAGAGGGGAAGGCAAUUUAUCUAUUUCAGGAGUCUCAAUGUGUGAUACCAAGAGUUUAAACUAAAUAUAAGGUGAGUCAUCACAAAUGUGACUUCAGAUAGCGACAGAAAGUUUGGAAGAUGCUGGCUAUUAGACAAAGCCUGGAUAUGGAAACAAAAGAUGAUAUAUGGCUUGACAACUACUUUGAAGUUUAACUCUGUGUGAUAUAAAGGAUGAUAAAGAAUAUUAACAAAAAAUUGAAAAUUCUGGGAAAAGUGGUAGAUGGGGGAAAGAAGAUGCAUUCAAAUUAGCAACUUCUCACUUUGGGAUCUAAAUGCAAUGUUCAAAUGAAGAUGUCUUGGAGAUGAGUG
ensembl:lncRNA